GACGAACGCUGGCGGCGUGCCUAAUACAUGCAAGUCGAGCGGAUUGAUGGGAGCUUGCUCCCUGAUAUCAGCGGCGGACGGGUGAGUAACACGUGGGCAACCUGCCUAUAAGACUGGGAUAACUUCGGGAAACCGGAGCUAAUACCGGAUAAUCCCUUUCCUCUCAUGAGGAAAGGCUGAAAGAUGGUUUACGCUAUCACUUAUAGAUGGGCCCGCGGCGCAUUAGCUAGUUGGGGAGGUAACGGCUCACCAAGGCAACGAAGCGUAGCCGGCCUGAGAGGGUGAUCGGCCACACUGGGACUGAGACACGGCCCAGACUCCUACGUGAGGCAGCAGUAGCGAAUCUUCCGAAAUGGACGAAAGUCUGACGGAGCAACGCCGCGUGAGUGAUGAAGGUUUUCGGAUCGUAAAACUCUGUUGUUAGGGAAGAACAAGUACGAGAGUAACUGCUCGUACCUUGACGGUACCUAACCAGAAAGCCACGGCUAACUACGUGCCAGCAGCCGCAGUAA
rnacentral:rRNA from 1 species